UUCUAAGUGUGGCAUAGUGUUUUCAGUGUUUUGGACUAUGACUCUGGAGACCAGGGUUCAAUUCUCAGCUUGGCCA